UACGGGGGGGGCAAGCGUUGUUCGGAGUUACUGGGCGUAAAGGGCGCGUAGGCGGUUCGCUAAGUUGGAUGUGAAAACUCUGGGCUCAACCCAGAGCCUGCAUCCAAAACUGGCGGGCUAGAGUUCUGGAGGGGGUAGCGGAAUUCCUGGUGUAGCGGUGAAAUGCGUAGAUAUCAGGAGGAACACCGGUGGCGAAGGCGGCUACCUGGACAGAAACUGACGCUGAGGCGCGAAAGCUAGGGGAGCAAACAGG
rnacentral:rRNA from 1 species